GACGAACGCUGGCGGCGUGCUUAACACAUGCAAGUCGAACGGACAGGCCCUGCUUUUGCGGGGGGCUCGAGUGGCGAACGGGUGAGUAACACGUGAGUAACCUGCCCUUGGCUUUGGGAUAACUUCAGGAAACUGGGGCUAAUACCGGAUAGGAGCUCCUGCUGCAUGGUGGGGGUUGGAAAGUUUCGGCGGUUGGGGAUGGACUCGCGGCUUAUCAGCUUGCUGGUGGGGUAGUGGCUUACCAAGGCUUUGCCGGGUAGCCGGCCUGCGGGGGGAACCCGCCACAUUGGGUCGGGACUACGGCACAGACCACUACGGGAGGCGACGGUGGGGUAGGUAGCACAAGGGGCUGAGGCCUGAUGCGGUACAGCCGCGUGGGGUAUGACGGGAUUCGGUUAGGAAUCUGCUUUCGUCUGACAGGAGGCGUUAGUGACGGUAAUGGGUAAAGAAGCACCGGCUAACUACGUG
rnacentral:rRNA from 1 species